rnacentral:rRNA from 1 species
UACGUAGGGUGCGAGCGUUAAUCGGAAUUACUGGGCGUAAAGCGUGCGCAGGCGGUGAUGUAAGACAGGUGUGAAAUUCCGGGGCUCAACCUCGGAACUGCAUUUGUGACUGCAUCGCUGGAGUGCGGCAGAGGGGGAUGGAAUUCCGCGUGUAGCAGUGAAAUGCGUAGAUAUGCGGAGGAACACCGAUGGCGAAGGCAAUCCCCUGGGCCUGCACUGACGCUCAUGCACGAAAGCGUGGGGAGCAAACAGG